AUUGAACGCUGGCGGCAGGCCUAACACAUGCAAGUCGAACGAGUGGCGGACGGGUGAGUAAUGUCUGGGAAACUGCCCGAUGGAGGGGGGUAACUACUGGAAACGGUAGCUAAUACCGCAUACCAUCGGAUGUGCCCAGAUGGGAUUAGCUUGUAGGUGAGGUAACGGCUCACCUAGGCGACGAUCCCUAGCUGGUCGGCGAGGCGGACCAGCCACUCGGGACUGGACAACCGGUCCAGACUCCUAAGGGAGGCAGCAGCGGGAAAUAUUUGACAAUGGGCGAAAGCUUGAUGCAGCUAGGCCGCGUGUAUGAAGAGGGCUUUCGGGUUGUAAAUUACUUUCAGCGGGGAGGCGUUACCCGCAGAAGAAGCACCGGCUAACUCCGUGCCAGCAGCCGCGGUAAUUC
rnacentral:rRNA from 1 species